ensembl:lncRNA
UGUAAUUUAAAUCCACAAUGUCAUGUAAGUUCCCUGUUGCCAGGAGAGUGUAUAACACUUUGGACAGUAGGGGGCAGCAGCGUGCUUUGGGAACUGAGUCGGGUGCAUAGCUGCCGUAAGUUUUCCAUUGUGGCAAGACUGACCAGGCGAACGGCAGCGUGUCUCCUGUGUUCACUUUCUCUCCUGUUUUACAGGAUCGUAAUCUGGCUACGCGCCCAUCAUAGUGGGGCCUGUAACACAUGCAACAUGCAGCACCUGUACAUAAAAGGCCAAAGCAGUCUGUACUUCCUCAGGAGGCUGAGGUCCUUCAACAUCUGCAGGAAGCUCCUGAGGAUGUUUUAUCAGUUGGUAAGUAGGGGAGAGGGAGGGGAAACAGGAGGACAAAGGAGGGUGGGAACAACUGAGCUGUAGUGCCUUUUCACUGUGCAAUAUUUAUUUUGUUAUACUAUCAAUAAUAUUUGUAUGAAUAUGGGAUACUGUUAGAUGUUUGCAUAGACUUUUGUGGAAUAUGGAGACACUCCUGGCAUUAUAUGAGCAAAGUGAGACUCAUUUUUAGGGUUUGUGGAGAUGAGUGUGAAGAUCCAAACAAUCCCUGUCAGUGAUGGAGAAGCUUUGAUGAAUAAAUUUGGUAAAAAGUUCACCAGCAUGAAGGAAAUGAAGUUCUCAAACUUUCCUAAAGAGGACCCCAGCACGCCUGCUUAAAGAAAAGUAAGUGUGCUGAUGUGGAUGCUUGCAGCGACUGCUGUAUAGAGGCCAUCCUGCUACACAUGAAACACAUCAGUGUCAUAAUUGCUAGUUUAGUCACGUGUUUGUUUCUUAUCCUUAUUGUUUUAUCAGGGACUGUUUGCAAACAUCUCAGAGAGAGGAGACACCAGCAUCUGAACAGAGACUCAAACCAGCAACCUGCAGGUCCCUGCUUGGCUGCUCCAGUUUUCUCCUCACUCAUGUUGCCCACCAGUGAUUUCUAGCUGCCCACCCACACAGCAGGCUAGAAUAUGCGCUGAGCCUCAGCACCAUGGUUGCAAUACUUGGACAUGUUUUCUUUAUUAAAUAAUGAACCAGACCCCAAAAAGUAAACAGCUGUUAUUGCUAGGCAACGGGAGCAGCAUUUGGUGAUGCAGCACCUGACAUUCCUGACCAUGUGGGCGGAGCAUGCGUGAAAUGGAAUGUUUAGUAGAACUGUGCAACACAAGCACUUAGUUACGGCAUUUUUCAUUGUAUCCAGACACAGUUAGAGACACAUCUACAGCAGCAUCUCUGUGCAGGACAAACGACAGUUGAAGAUAUAAAACAUCAAAAACUUCACUUCUCUACAGUACGUUGGUUCCUUUGUUUAAAAGGCCAAAAUGAAUCAAGGGAGAUCGAGAAGAGGAUUGGCGAGUGCUUCACCAUACAGUACAGUGAAGUCUGAGCUGACUAACCUACGAGAGGAAUUUCAAAUAAUACAGGCUGAAAAUGUCAAAUUAAAAGAAGAGGCAGAAAAAUCAAGAGGAGAAGCUAAAAAUUCAAAGUUUGAAACUGAAGUAGUAUUGCAGGAAUUACUGCAUGUGGGUCUAAAACUUAAAGGAGAGAAGAUGGAAAAACAACGGGCAGAAAAUGAGAAUGAAAAUAUAAAGAAAGAACUGUUGGAAGCUGAAAAAGCAUUGGAGGAAGAGAAAACCACAGCACAAGAAGCCAAAAAUAAAUAUCAAACUGCAAAGAAGGAGGCAGAAAAUGUGAUGCAGGAAUUACAGGAGGUGCAGAAAGAUUUUGAAAAGGAAAAGAGGAAAAUGCAGUUGGCAACACAAGAAGCUGAAAAUGUAAUGGCUGAAGCUGAAAUAGUUAGGAAGGAAUUCCUGCAUGUAAAGCAACAACUUGAAGAGGAGAAAAAACGUAAACAUGAGGCAGAAAAUGAGAUUGAAAAUAUGAAGAAAGAAUUGUUGGAAGCUCAAAAAGUGUUGGAGGAAGAGAAAAUGAAAAUACAGGAAGCAAAGAAAGAAAUGGAAAAUACAAAUAGUUACACUCAAAACAUGAAGAAGAAGUUGCUGGAAACACAGGAAGCAAUAGAAAAAGAGACACGUGGAAAAUGGGAGGCAAAACAGGAAAGUGAAACUCUGAAGAAGGAACUGAUGAAAGUGCAAGAAGAACUUGCAGAAGAGAAAACUGAGGUGAAGGUAUUCAAGAAAGAAAUGACAGGCUCUGCGAGGACCAAGAAAGACUGCAAAGAUGCACUUAAAGAAAUACGAAAGCACAAAAAGGAAGCUAAAGAGCUCCUCAAACAGAAAGUGAAACUGGCCAAACGGCAGCUGAAAGAAAAAUUUAAAGACGCCGAGGAGCAGCUAAACAAAACGUUGAAAGAGCUGAAGGCAAAAGAAAAAGAAAAGAAAGCCGAGGAGACGAGGGGAUUCUGGAGCAGACUGCUGAGAAAGAACUGACCCAGCAGCAUCAAGUUUAAGGAGAUCAACAGUUUCGUCCUCCUUCCCCCUCUCUCCACCUUUCUUUCACCCCAUCCUUCUUCUUCUCUC